rnacentral:rRNA from 1 species
CUACGUAGGUGACAAGCGUUAUCCGGAUUUACUGGGCGUAAAGGGCGUGUAGGCGGUCUUGCAAGUCAGAAGUGAAAUUCCUGAGCUCAACUCGGGCGCUGCUUCUGAAACUGCAGGACUUGAGUGCUGGAGGGGAUAGCGGAAUUCCUAGUGGAGCGGUAAAAUGCGCAGAUAUUAGGAAGAACACCGGUGGCGAAGGCGGCUAGCUGGACAGUAACUGACGCUGAGGCGCGAAAGCGUGGGGAGCAAACAGGAUUAGAUCCCCUGGUAGGCCACGCCGUAAACGAUGAAUACUAGGUGUAGGGGGUAUCGACUCCCUCUGUGCCGCAGUUAACACAAUAAGUAUUCCGCCUGGGGAGUACGGCCGCAAGGUUGAAACUCAAAUGAAUUGACGGGG